ensembl:lncRNA
CUUUGUAACAUAAGGCACUUGUGUCUAUCUGCCAUGAAUAUACUGCAAAUGUUCUAAAAAUGCAGAAGGCCAGAAGAAAUGAGAUAUACAGCUCUCUGCUUGAAGUGCGUCAGCCACACUCAUCAGUAAAUAAAUUUAAAACAUGCUGCUGAUCAAAGUUAGAUAUCAGGACUGCAGGAAAUUUAUCAGACUUCAGGAUGGAUUCACUUUUGCAGAUUUUGUUAAUGAAGUCCACUAUAGGUUUGGCUUACCACCUGAGACAAAUCUACACAUUUAUGACGACACUGAAACUGAGAUAGACGAGGACAUUUUACAAGAUGUGCUCAUUGCGAGACCUGAUACGUCGCUUAUUAUUGUUAGAAGAGAGAAUGAAGAAAUGUUUUCAGAUGCAACAAGCAGCUCUUGGACCGACAUUUUGUCACUUAGUCAUUCAUCAUAUGAACUUGACCAAAUGCCACAACACCCUUACAAGAAAUCUAAGACAAAUGAUGCAGCAGCUGAGGCAAAAGAGAUGGUUCGUAGUGCCCUAAAGCAGACAAGUGGAGGAGAUGCUGUCCUUGCUGAAUACAGUUCCAAAAAUACACUUUCAAGUGAAAUGAGACGAGUCCUAGUCAACAUUUUGGUUGGACAUAUGGUGGAAAUGCAUGGGUAA